UACUGACAGGAGCAAGAGAGAGAGGGGGGGGGGGCAUUAUUUUUCCGGGUUAUGGCAAAGCAGGGUCACAAAAUAUCAUUCCUUAAAAUUUUGAAUUACACCUCCCCCCCCUAAUAAAUUAUGACCAGUCCCUAAUAGAGUAUGUUGGCUGACUAUUUUUUUAGCUUCACCAUAUAAGCACUAGCUGCCUUCAGAUGAUAUGCUUGGAUUUGAUUUAAUUAACAAUGCAAUAUACUUACAUUAAUUAAAGUUUCA